GACGAACGCUGGCGUCGUGCCUAAUACAUGCAAGUCGAGCGAACCAAUUAAGAGCUUGCUCUUAAGAAGUUAGCGGCGGACGGGUGAGUAACACGUGGGUAACCUGCCUAUAAGACUGGGAUAACUCCGGGAAACCGGGGCUAAUACCGGAUAACAUUUUGCACCGCAGGGUGCGAAAUUGAACGGCGGCUUCGGCUGUCACUUAUAGAUGGAGCUGCGGCGCAUUAGCUCGUUGGUGAGGUAACGGCUCACCAAGGCGACGAUGCGUAGCCGCCCUGAGAGGGUGAUCGGCCACACUGGGACUGAGACACGGCCCAGACUCCUACGGGAGGCAGCAGUAGGGAAUCUUCCGCAAUGGACGAAAGUCUGACGGAGCAACGCCGCGUGAACGAUGAAGGCUUUCGGGUCGUAAAGUUCUGUUGUUAGGGAAGAACAAGUGCUAGUUGAAUAAGCUGGCACCUUGACGGUACCUAACCAGAAAGCCACGGCUAACUACGUGCCAGCAGCCGCGGUAAGAC
rnacentral:rRNA from 1 species